rfam:Candidatus Firestonebacteria bacterium RIFOXYA2_FTLL_40_8 rifoxya2_full_scaffold_1007, whole genome shotgun sequence.
ACAUGUAAGUAUGGGUGCUGUCCGCCUUCGGCGGGAUGGCUGAGAGUAUACCAUUUGAACCUGUUUGGGUAAUUCCAACGAAGGGAAAGUAAACGGAAAUCAG